UAGACAACGUGUGCUCUAUCAUUGUUUUUUUUUCUUCUUCUUCUUUUGCUCCCUCUCUCCAGAGACAUCUGUGCCUUGAAACCAAGGGAGGGUAAGUAAGCGCUGACUCAGCACAGGCAUUUGCUACUCUUUCUCUGAGAAGCAUCUUCAAGGUCCCAGAGGAGAGAUAAAUGCCCAACAGGCUGUGAUGCCCCCCACAAGACUCAGCUGGAGCGCUACUGGGGUGCAUGCAGUGUGCGGCAGCUCUGCUGUUUUUGGCACUCGCUGUUCCUUUUUCCUAUGCAUAUACCUCUUUGAGAAGUCACUUUAAAGAGGCAUAGGGCAUGGGAAAAUGGGGCUGCGGGGUUUUCCACCCAUCCUCCGGCAUCUACGUUCCAACACAGCUGCUCACCUCUCACACUUGAAGUAUAUGUGAACUUUGUGAUGUUAGAUUUCUGAUUUCUACUUAGAGAUAAUGACAAAUUGUCUGCUUUUCUGGUGCUGUGAUGUUGCAUGUUUGCUCAAUUAUGACUCAGAAUUUCUCUGGUCCGUGUUUUGAAUAAAGAUGACAUAUUUGAAAACAACUGAA